rnacentral:lncRNA from 1 species
CCUCCGAACAUAGCAAGCUGAAUUGAGGCACCAAGUUACCCUCCUGCGCCAAGAGGUUCAAAUCGGAGGGAAUCUCGAUCAUACGAGCCCCCCAUGUACCACUGAGUGAGUAAUGCCCUCCUAAAAAAUCUGAACAUCAUUAGGGUCCAAGUCGGAUUCAGACUCAUAUUUAUCAACUACUACACUCUUUCCCCUCUCGGUCGUAGAGGUGGGGACACGACCCGCCGCGUAUGAAGAAGGUGCGCUUGAACUCACAACAACCACACUAGGGGAUGGAUUCUCAACUAUGGAAGGACAUCCCGUAUUAUCCGUAACAGGAGCAUUAGACUGAACCGCCAUAACGGCUGCAUUUUCCUGGCUCUGAAUACCAGCAUCAACUUUGCCUACCCGCUCCACCCCUAUGGAAUACGGUGCAACAGUGUUUUCCCCUAGGCCCGUCGGAGGACAAUCCAAAUUGAUCACAGCCGGAGGUGCCAUUUCGAACACUACCCUUCGUCUGCUUGACAACCCUCCUUCCUUCCUGGUCGAUGGAAAAUCGUUCUGAGGGCGAAUAAUACCAGAAGGGAGCUCGUCCUAGGUGGUUGCUCGAGUCGGGGUAACCAAGGCCGUAGAAUCGACUGAGGCAACCCUCGAUGAAGGAUGAGCAGCAGACACCGUGCUGAGGAAAGCAAAUGCAGCCGACCAACGGAAAGCUAGCUGAGGAGCCCUAACUUUGCGAACUCUUCCUGGCAACGACAAACAAUAAUAUUUGAAGGUUAAGAGCAAAUAAAAAAGGGGGGAAAGGACGAAUGGAGAAUAAGGGUGUUAUCUCACCUACAAGGGGCCUACGCUCGAAUCUCUCAUGAAAGGUCGAUCACGUUCAUACUCCCACUGUGUGGGGAAGGACGACCUCGACCCAUUCUCGAAUCCCCUCCAAAGGAGGCGGGGGCAGCUUCUCAGUUACGAAAUAACGAAGCAGAUUAUUACAUACAAUAUAAAAUCUAAAGAGGAUGAGAACAAAACUACUCUACUAAUCUGGGGCGAAGAUUUACAAACAAAUUCCACACUUUGGGAAAUCCAGUUGAGUCCUCCAUGAGGUGCUCGGUCUUCACAUAGGAAAAGUUUUCAAAAAAGUUACGAUUGUUCCUAUCAUCCAUCUUGACUAACAGACCUUUUGACCUCGGGUAUGGGCAUGGGUCAUCAUGCCACGAAUUUUCUAAGGAGCGAAUAGGCUGAGCAUGUGUCCUAGGGUGACCUCACGACUGGCUUGCUCCGCAUACUUGAUGAACAUGAGGAAUAGAUAGUACAACUAAGGAGAAAGUUGGGUGGGAAAUACCUCAUAAUAGCGGCAGAAGUCACCACCAACAUGAGAAGUGGGAGCGUAUACCCCACGAGAAAGGGGUAAGCAUAGAACAUGCAGAACCCGUGACGGUCAAUUUGGACCCUAUCAUCACUCCUUGCCAGUACCAUCUCGAUAUAAUUGGGAAUUUCCCAUCGUUCCCAUAAAUUUUCUAUCCUAAAAUCCCCUAUGAAGGGAGGAAUAUUUACAUUUUUCUCGCCGACUUCAGUGCUGAAAUCCACCACUGCCCUCCCCGGGUGGGAUACAAUUCCCUCUACUAAAGGAACAUCUUCGCAUUCUAUCGGUUCUGUGUCACCGGCUGCAGAAAAGGAUUGUCAGCUGUCAGAGGGGUAGCCAAGAGAUUAUCAUGGGAAGAAUUUCUUGCCAUCGUUAACCCGCAAGAAAGAAGAGGAGAAAGAACUUUGCGGAAGAAAUAAGAAAAUAGAAGAUUACUGCAAGCAAGAGUGUAACGAACCGACCAACUGUUUUGAGCUAUAGCACAUCGUUCAGCAAUCUGAGGCCAUGAAGAUCUUCAUUUAAGGUAUUUUGACUUCUACGCAUGGUCGGAGUUAAGUUUCGGGAAGUUGAGUUGAUUUGGAAAGAGAAUUCUCAUUUCAGAAGCUUAAAGUUGAAAGAAUUAACCAAGAUUGGAUUUUUAAGUAAACGCCUCAGAAUUGGGAUUUGAAGGUUCCAUCAGGUUUGUAUUAUGACUUUGGGAUGGGGCGUAUGCCCGGAUCGGGUUUUAGAUGACCUGGGAGCAUUUUGGCGCCUAUUGUAGAAGUUAGCAUUUUGGAAGAAUUUCAUAAGUUUGGUUUGAAGUGCAUUUCAGUGUUAUCGAUGUCCAUUUGGGAUUCCGAGUCUGGUAGUAGCUCCGUGUGUGAUUUUGUAGUUGGGAGCGCAAUCGAAGGUGAAUUCAGAGGCCCGUAUGUCAUUUUGGAGCCAUUUGGCUAAAGAUAGAAAAUUGAAGGUUUUUGGAAAAGUUUGACCGGAUGUGGACUUUUUGAUAUCGGGGUCGUAUUCCAAUUCUGGAAGUUGGAGUAGGUCCGGAAUGUCAAAUAUGACUUGUGUACAAAAUUUGAAGUCAAUUGGAUGUGAUUUGAUAGGUUUCGGCAUCGAAGGUAGAAGUUUGAAGUUCUAAAGUUCAUAAAGCUUGAAUUGGAGGUUGAUUCAUGAUUUUAGCAUUGUUUGAUAUGAUUUGAGUCUUCGGUCAAGUUUGUAUUAUGUUUUUAGACUUAUGCAGAGGUUUUGUUAGGAGACCCGGGGGCUCGGGUGUGAUUCGGGAUAGCUUCAGAGUGAUUUACUAAGAAAUAGGAUUGUUGGUACUGGUAUGAUCGCAAUAGCGAUGUAUUGGUCACAAAUGUGACAUCGCAUUUACAAGGUCUUGUUUGCAUUUUCAAACCUGGGCGGCUGGGGGAUCGUUCACAUUUGCGACAUUUUAGGUCACUUUUGCGAGGCCUGAAGGGGGUUCGCAUUUGCGAAGCCCUUAUCGCAUUUGCGAAGCAGGCCAGUUCGGUCGGGGUCGCAUUUAUGAUGAAAUUGUAACGACCCGAUUAGAUGUUUUACUAUUUAGAACCCCAUUCCCUUAUAUAAAACUUCCGACGAUUUCUUUAGCUAAUUACGACUUGCAAGGGCGAUUAGUUUGGAAGUUAGGAGAGUUUUGAGUGAAAAUAAAACCAAUUAUUUCCUUAAGGUUUUCUUAAAAGGCCAAAUUUGAUUUCAGUCAAAUUUCUUGGGAAAAAGACUUGGAUUCAUGAUUUGACGGUCCUAGAAGGUCCGUGGAAAAAUAUGAGACCUAGGAAUAUGUUCGGAAUCGAAUUCCGAGGUCCCUAGCCCGAGUAUGGAAUUUUUAUGAAAAAUUAUUUAAUCAAAGUUUUAAAGAAUAAAAGAAUCUAAAUAUUCAUUAAAAACCCAGGUAUCGGGUUCGGAUUCUGGUUUCAAAACUUGGUACAAGUCUGAAAUAUCAUAUAAGACCUACUCGUAAAGUUUGGUGUCAAUCCAAGUAGUGUAAGGGCGUUUUGACCCGUUGAAAGAAAAUUAAGAACUAGAAGUUCACUAAGUUGAAUCAAUUGGUUUUGGGGUUCGAUUCCUUGAUUUGGUAUUGUUUUGGGUGUUUUGAGGGUUCGACUAGGUCCGCCUCAUGAUUUCAAACUUAUCAGUAUGUUUGGGUGGGGCACGAGAGCCCCGAGCGUCAAAUGGUUGAGGUUCGAGUGAAGUCGAAUUUUGAUGAGAAACAAUAUUGUUGCUUCUGUCAAAACCGCUGUUGCGGCUCUAUGACCGCAUAAGCGGUGACCGCAUACGCGGCCACAUGACCGCAUAAGCGGUGACCACAUAAGCGGCCACAUGACCGCAUAAGCGGCCACAUGGCCGCGGAAGCGGAAAUGGGGAAGGUAAAGGGAAUCGCAGAAGCGUCCACGGGGACCGCAAGAGCGGUCCCGCAUAUGUGAACAAACGACCACAGAUGCGGUCUGGCCAGCUCCUCCCCGAACCGCAGAAGAGGCUAAAUGGACGCAUAAGCGGACUCCGCAAGUGCGGAUAUAUGCCUGCAUAGGCGAAAAUCGCUGGAGCAUAAAGUACAUUAAAUUCGAACUCCAAUCCCUUUUCUCCCAUUUCUCAUCCGAUUUUGGGGUGAUUUUGGAGCUUUCAAAGAGAGAGUUUCAACGUAACAUCACAAGGUAAGUAACUCUCACUCACUCUUAGCUUAAAUACACGAGCAUUACAUAGAUUUAACAUUUAUAAUUAAAUAAAAUCAAGGGUUAGAGCUAGAUCUAGAGUUUUAAAAAAAUUAUAAUUUAACCACCUAAUUAGCUAGGUAAUGAAGUAAAAUUUACAUAUUAGUAAUCCUUAGGUCAUAGAGAGUAUUUUCCUUCGAAAGAUCUCUAAAUCCGGGCACGUGGGGCUGGGGUUGAAAUUUAGAAAACUUGUGGGAAAGGUUGGAAAAUCAUUUAAUUAGCUGGAAUUCAACUUUUUAAGCCCUUAUUGACUAGUUUCUGCAUUGUUUAACUAGUUUGUACGCUUUCGGCUUCGCUGUGAGGUCUCGAGCUUGUUCUUGGCAUUUCGAAGUGCUGUUUAGAGCGAGGUAAGUCUCCUUUCUAAUCUUAUAAGGGGAGAAUUACCCCAUAUGUGAGUUAUAUGAUUAUGUGCUCCUAUUUGUGGGGGCUACGUACGCACGAGGUGACGAGAGUCCGUGCUUAGCUACUAUUAUGCUAUUGUCCGGGUAGUCUAGGACCCAAAAACAUGUUAUACUUGGAUUAAACGUACGCACGAGGUGACGAGAGUAUGUGCGUAGCUAUUAUUAUGCUAUUGCCCGGGUAGUCUAGGACCCAAAAGCAUGUUAUAUUUGGAUUAAUCAUGAACCCAUUGGUGGCUUGAAUUGCUUAAAUCAUAUUAAAUUUAUAAAUGGAUUUCAAAAAAGAAAGACUUAAGCUUGUUUUCUCAAUUUAUUAUAGAGUAUUUAACUUUCUUGGAUAUUUGCUCCAUGUCGACUAUUUGACUGAUUGUCUGUCUGCGUAUGUUUAUUUUGGGACUGGUCGUACGCCUCGGCAGAUUAAUAGAUGCAUCUAUAGGCUUGUCGUCGACCCUCGACAAGUGCACAUUUAUUUCUUUUGGAUCGGGCCGUCGCCUCGGUAUGAUUUGCAUUUUCUUGAAUUGCUUCCUCGACUCAUUUGAGUCGUGUUAUGCCACACUAUGGAUCGAGAUUAUACUGUUAAUAAUAAUAAGAAACCUAAGGAAAUUUUCCAUGAAAGAAUUAUAUGCUUACUUGUUUCCUCUAUCUGGAUUAGAAUCAUGUUUAUAAAAUAAAUUUACUGUUUAAUAUAUUUAUUAUGAAUAAUAAUCAUUCGACUACUAGUGAGUUUCAAAGUUGACCGUCUUGUCUCUACCCCUUCGGGAUUAGGCGGGACAUUCAUUGGGUACACGUUUUUGUACUUAUACUACACUUACUGUGCAUUUGUUGCACAUGUAUAUCUGACUCCAGUGGUGUGCUAGGCAUAGUAAUGGAUGAUUCUGGGACUAGAUGAACUGCAUUAUUCGAGGCGGCCGCAGCUAGAGUAGUCCCUUCCUUUGCAAUAUAUUUACUUUCCGUCCAUUGUAUUCCGGGCGGAUAUUGUAUUUUCUCUUAUCAGUAGAUGCUCACGUACUUGUGACACUGGGUUCUGGGAUGGUUUGAAAUAUUGUGUUGCUGGUUUAACUUUUAAUUUUGAUUCGAAAAUCUAUAUUCUUUAAAAAUUUCUAAAUAUGGAAGAAAAUUCCUAUAUUUCAAAAUUAUUAAAACGAGAUUUGAUUAAGUAAUUGGGUUGGCUUGCCUGAUAGCAGUAUUCAACGCCACCACAACCCUUAGUGGAUUUUGGGUCGUGACAGAAAUCUUCGCUUUUGCGAAGUCGCAUUUGUGGUCCCCCUGUCACAAAUGCAAUAUGAGAGGGUUGUGUCCAAUUAUUAAAUUCGAGACUAAGCCCAUUUCCCUCAUUUCCCAUUUGUCCUUAGGCAAAUUUUGAGAGCAUUUGAGGAGGGAUUCCAUCAUCAUCAAAUAGAUAUCACACCUCCUUUUUACACACCUACCCCGAAGGAUAUAAGGGAGUUUUCCAUUUUAAGUGACAUUAUUCGAAAUGAAAUUAUUUAUUUAUUUAGAGUCGACACUUGGGAAAGGUUUGGAUUUUGGUGUCCCAAGUCAUCGGUUUAUCUUGAAUCCCAAAUCGAGGAAACUUUCGACUUUCCAAGUGAAGUAUGCGAACUAGAAAUUCUAAGUAAGGAAUUUUGUUGAUCCGAGGGAAGGUAUUGGCAUUUCCGAAUCCCUUGGUUCUAGCAUGGUCGCGUAAACUAUUAUAAAUGGCUAAAUAUCUGAUUUUAAUAUAUGUUUCAAUUUAAAGUGCAAUUUAAAAUACUUACCGCUUUGAAUUAGUUUUUUAAGGAAUUUGUAACAUUGUUAAAAUAUGUCUCGAACCACGUCACAUAAAUGCACUCGCGAUUUUUGGCAUAUUCUAACGCCAAUGAGAUUUGAAUUUGGGUCACAUAAAUGUGCACCCGAGUUUAAGAAAUUAAUAUUAUUAAAUACCGGACCUAAAGCAACUAGCGUAUUAUUAACUUUGCGGGAGGUCAUAAAAUUCGCUAAAUGGUACGUCCCGAGGUCUAAAUAUUUUUAAACAAAUAAUUAAAGAGGGUCACAUAAUUUAUGAUUUUUUAUUUGGCGCGGCGCACCUCAUUUAUAAUAAGCCCAUAAAACUAGUUUCUGAACCUGUUGACUAUUUUGUAAAAAUUUAGUGUACCAUUUAUUCCCAUCGAAUACUAUUAGGCAAACAUUCAAACUAAUGCAAGGCUGGUCAUUAGCUAAUUGUUAACCUAGAAUCUAAUAGUCAAUUAACUUUGUAAUUAUACAUCUUAAACAAAUUCAACGAUGAUAUGGACACUUUUAAUAGGCAAAGAUAUAAAUGAAAUCCUUUCCUCGCUAAGCUAUAAGAAAAAUUUAAUCUAAUAUGAAAAUGUACUGCUGAAAUUAAGUAUACUAACUAAAGCUACUUGAAACGCAUUCCUAUAAUUCUAAAGUCUAAUAAUUCCAUUAUUCACAAAUCCCACUAGACUAAUAUUACUGGCAGAUUAGUCAUGCGAUUAUAAACGUCUAGCAAUCUAACUAAUUACAAAUCAAUAUACUGUCAAAUACACAUAAUCACUCUAUGUUGUUAAACUAAACAAGGAAUAGGAAAAUUUAGAGACCGAAUUCAGUCGCAUUUCAUCAUUUAAAUUGCUACCUCAAUUUUAUAUUGAGCCUUCACUAGUUGUAUGAGACAAUAUGAAUACCUGGAAAUGAACAAAUGAGAGAAGGAUGAAUCAGCCAUGCAGACGACAAUCAACAGCAAAUGGAAUUCAACAGCAGCAAUGAAAUCGAUCUCGAACCCAUAAUAAGUUCAAAAUAGCCCAGGAAUAGAUCAAAGAAGUAAAGCCACCAGACAGCCGAAAUAAGUUGAUUGAAACAAAAUCCAGACUCGAAAUCAACUCAGGAAAGAUUUCGAUGAUCUAAAAAAACAAAACUCAAGGAAUCUCAAGUCAUUUUCAACUUAUCUAUGCUAGGGACUCGAGUUAACAGCUAGAACUUCAAAUUGAACUAAGGAAUUUCAAAAUAAUAGAAAUUUUUUGGCGUUUUUUGUGUUAUUUUUUCGUUUUUUCUGAAGGCUUAAGAUCUAAAAGGAAAUUUCUAACUCUAGAUUUGAGAUGUGGUUUUUUUUAAAUCUCAAAUUCAAAUUUUUAGAUUCUAAACUUGUAGAAAACUUUUUAGGGGAAUUUUCAGAUGCAAACUUGUGAAAUAAAGCAAUG